rnacentral:rRNA from 1 species
UACGUAGGGGGCAAGCGUUGUCCGGAAUUAUUGGGCGUAAAGCGCGUGUAGGCGGUCCGGUAAGUCGGUUGUGAAAGUCCAGGGCUCAACCCUGGGAUGCCGACCGAUACUGUCGGACUAGAGUUCGGAAGAGGCGAGUGGAAUUCCCGGUGUAGCGGUGAAGUGCGCAGAUAUCGGGAGGAACACCAAUGGCGAAGGCAGCUCGCUGGGACGUUACUGACGCUGAGACGCGAAAGCGUGGGGAGCAAACAGG